GAGCCAUUAGCUCAGUUGGUAGAGCAUCUGACUUUUAAUCAGAGGGUCGAAGGUUCGAAUCCCGUCUUCCGCU
rnacentral:tRNA from 1 species